CUGGAGAAGCUUUGAAACAUGUUUCUCUUAUUUUGUAUCUUGUCUUCUCUUCCUGGUGUUUUGUCACAAGCACAACUUACACAACCCAGCUCGGAACUGAAAAAACCCGGAGAGAGUGUAACAUUAUCAUGUAGAGCAUCUGGUUACACGUUCACCAGCUUUGCUGCUAUGCACUGGGUUCAACAGGCUCCAGGUGCAGGAUUGAAACACAUUGGAUACAUUAGUACCAAUACUGGAAACACUUAUUAUUCUUCAUCAUUCCAAGGAAGAUUCACAAUAACAAAAGACGAUUCACUUAGUACAUCAUAUCUAAAAAUUGACAGGCUGACAUUGGAGGACACUGCAAAUUACUACUGUGCAAGAGACACAGUGACAAAACCAAAUAAACAGACAGAAGAGCUGCCAAUCACUGUAUGUGAGCCAGGUACUGAAAGACCGUUAGAAAAACUCUCCAAUCAGCUGUCUAGAAGGCCCCGAGAUCAUCAGACUCAUGGAUUAGUCCAAGCUCUUAAACACAGGACAAUUCAGGACUUGACCAAGUAA